CAGCAGCCGCGGUAAUACCGGCGGCCCGAGUGGCGGUCACUAUUAUUUGGCUUAAAGCGUCCGUAGCCGGGUUGGGAAGUCCUCCGGGAAAUCUGGCCGCUUAACGGUCAGAAUGCCGGAGGAUACUCCCAGCCUAGGGAGCGGGAGAGGCCGAGGGUAUUCCCGGAGUAGGGGUGAAAUCCUAUAAUCCCGGGAGGACCACCUGUGGCGAAGGCGCUCGGCUGGAACGCGUCCGACGGGGAGGGACGAAGGCCAGGGGAGCAAACCGGAUUAGAUACCCGGGUAGUCCUGGCUGUAAACGAUGCGGACUUUGUGUCGGACAAGCUAUGAGCUUGUCCGGUGCCGGAGGGAAACCGUUAAGUCCGCCGCCUGGGGAGUACGGCCGCAAGGCUGAAACUUAAAGGAAUUGGCGGG
rnacentral:rRNA from 1 species